rnacentral:rRNA from 1 species
AGCCACAGCCAUAUCACCCUGCAGCCCAACACCGGUUACUUACUGAAGCUAAGCAGGGCUGAGCCUGGAUGGGAGACUACAUGGGCCAGCAGGGGGCACUCAACCUGCGGCCUGUGUGAAUC